UACGUAGGGGCAAGCGUUGUCCGGAUUUAUUGGGCGUAAAGAGCGUGUAGGCGGCCAGACAAGUCUGCUGUGAAACUCGAGGCUCAACCUCGAGCUGUCGGUGGAAACUGUCUGCUAGAGUCCGGAAGAGGAGAGUGGAAUUCCUGGUGUAGCGGUGAAAUGCGCAGAUAUCGAGGAAGAACACCUAUGGCGAAGGCAGCUCUCUGGGACGGUACUGACGCUGAGACGACGAAGCGUGGGGAGCGAACAGG
rnacentral:rRNA from 1 species